rnacentral:rRNA from 1 species
UGCUUAACACAUGCAAGUCGAGCGGUAACGCGGGGGCAACCCUUGGCGACGAGCGGCGAACGGGUGAGUAAUACAUGGGAAUCUGCCCAGUAGUGGGGAAUAACCCGGCGAAAGCCGGGCUAAUGCCGCAUACGAUCUACGGAUGAAAGCGGGGGACCUUCGGGCCUCGCGCUAUUGGAUGAGCCCAUGUCGGAUUAGCUAGUUGGUGAGGUAACGGCUCACCAAGGCGACGAUCCGUAGCUGGUCUGAGAGGACGGCCAGCCACUCUAGGACUGAGACACGGCCCAGACUCCUACGGGAGGCAGCAGUGGGGAAUAUUGGACAAUGGGCGAAAGCCUGAUCCUUCUACCCCGCGUGUGUGAAGAAGGCCUCCUUGUUGUAAAGGUC